rnacentral:rRNA from 1 species
AUUGAACGCUGGCGGCAGGCCUAACACAUGCAAGUCGAGCGGAUGAAGGGGGCUUGCUCCUGGAUUCAGCGGCGGACGGGUGAGUAAUGCCUAGGAAUCUGCCUGGAAGUGGGGGAUGACGUCCGGAAACGGGCGCUAAUACCGCAUACGUACUGAGGGAGAAAGUGGGGGGGCUUGGGACGUAACACCAUCAGAGGAGCCUAUGUCGGAAUAGCUAGGUGGUGGGGUAAAGGCCUACCAAGGAGGAGAUCCGUAACUGGUCUGAGAGGAUGAUCCGUCACCCUGUAACUGAGACACGUUCCACACUCCUACGGUAGGCAGCAGUGGGGAAUCUUGGACGAUGGACCAAUGCCUGAUACAGCCAUGCCGCGUGUGUGAAGAAGGUCUUCUGAUUCUUAAGCACUGUAAAUUUUAGGGAAGUGCAGUAAGUUUAUACCUUGCGGUUUUGACGUUACCAACAGAAUAAGCUCCGGCUAACUUCGUG